rnacentral:rRNA from 1 species
CCGUGAGGGAAAGAUGAAAAGAACUUUGAAAAGAGAGUUAAAAAGUACGUGAAACCGUUGAAAGGGAAACGAAUGGACUCAGCAAUGCGCCGCUCGAGAUUCAGCCGGCCGGCGGAGUCGGCCCGGGGUUUGCGGAUCCGAACGGACCGCGGUCUCGGGCUCGUCUCCGUCGACCGUCGCACUUCUCUUGGGCGCGCGUCAACGUCGGUCGGUUCUGGGUCUGAAGGGUUCCGGGAAGGUGAGUGCGCGCUUCUCCCCUCGGGGUGUGGUGCGUUCCGUUAUAGCCCGGUUCUCGGAUUGGCUCGGAGUCGACCGAGGCGGUCGCAGCGCAUGCCUCUUCUGGCUAGGGUCCCGUCUUUCCGGCCGGUCGUCGACCGCGGUGGACUGCUUGCAGUGCUCCGCGACUGCUGCCGGUCGUUGGGGCGGUGAUCUCGUACAAUGCGCUUAGGACGUUGGCGGUCAUAUGGGUCCAUCCGACCCGUCUUGAAACACGGACCAAGGAGUCUAACAUGUGCGCGAGUCUCAGGGUGCCCUAAACCCAGAGGCGGAAUGAAAGUGAAAGCGGCUCCGGCCGCCGAGGCGAGAUCCCCGCCUCCCACCCGGGGGCGCGGGCGCAUCGUCGACCGACCUAUCCUACUCUUAGGAAGGUUUGAGUAAGAGCGUGUCUGUUGGGACCCGAAAGAUGGUGAACUAUGCCUGAAUAGGGUGAAGCCAGAGG